CAGCAUUCUCAGGGCCUUCUGCCAAGGGCCCGCUUUGAUCUCCCUUAAAGGACAGCAUUAUCUGACCAGAGGAACUCUGAAAGCCACAUGUUGAGAUGGCCCCAUUACAGGAUGGAGAGCACCUGAACCCCCAAGUUAUGGACUAGAAGAAGACAGUUGCCCUGGAAAAUCAUCUGACCCACAUUGGACUUUAUGUGAGGGGGAAAUAAACCUUUAUUAUGUUAAGC
rnacentral:lncRNA from 1 species